GAUGAACGCUGACAGAAUGCUUAACACAUGCAAGUCGACUGGAAUUCUCUUCGGAGUUAGUACGGUGGCGGACGGGUGAGUAACGCGUGGGAAUAUGCCCUUCUCUAAGGAAUAGCCUCUGGAAACGGAGAGUAAUACCUUAUACGCCCUUUGGGGGAAAGAUUUAUCGGAGAAGGAUUAGCCCGCGUUAGAUUAGGUAGUUGGUGGGGUAAUGGCCUACCAAGCCUACGAUCUAUAGCUGGUUUGAGAGGAUGAUCAGCCACACUGGGACUGAGACACGGCCCAG
rnacentral:rRNA from 1 species